rnacentral:rRNA from 1 species
UACGUAGGGUGCGAGCGUUGUCCGGAAUUAUUGGGCGUAAAGAGCUUGUAGGCGGUUUGUCGCGUCUGCUGUGAAAAUCCGAGGCUCAACCUCGGACUUGCAGUGGGUACGGGCAGACUAGAGUGUGGUAGGGGAGACUGGAAUUCCUGGUGUAGCGGUGAAAUGCGCAGAUAUCAGGAGGAACGCCGAUGGCGAAGGCAGGUCUCUGGGCCACUACUGACGCUGAGAAGCGAAAGCAUGGGGAGCGAACAGGAUUA